rnacentral:sRNA from 2 species
GCAAAGGAGAAGCGGAAUGAAAGAUGAACUCCGUACAUAGUAUGCGAAAUAAAAUGCAGGAAAACGAACGGAAAUCACAGUAUCUGGUAAUCUCGCCGGGUAGAUAUAAGAGUUGACGAAAAUCUUUCAGAAAAACAAGGACGCUGCCCUGGGAGAUCCAUCCCAUGUCACAAAACUGUCGUUCGCAACAUCUCCUUCAUCCAAACGGCCAGCUCUUCGCGGGGGACUAACAAUAACAAUGGAAUUCGAAUGCGCCCGCUGAGACCGAACCGGACUCGCCUCCAAUGACCCGCCAACAUCGACAUUGAUCUCCAUCUCCGGUUGAUGCUCCUGUUGUUGGUUGUGCUGCAACCUAUGUCCCUCUCCGGCCUGAAAAUCUAAGCCAUGCCUGUGGUCAUUCUCCGCAAUCCCGUACUCAUACCCAUACUCUCCCUCAUGUGGCCUGUUCCUCAACGUCCAUAUAUUCCACCCGUCAUUCAUCGCGGCAAGCUCGACAAUAUUCUCCGCCUCUGCAACCAUAUUAUCCUGCACGUAAACAUCUUGCUCGGGUAUAUCCUCCACUUCCUCAUUCUCGUCCAUAUCCACGGCUACGUUCUCCUUGUCA